AAUUGCUUAUAUACCCCUAAAAAGUCUCUAACUUUUCGAUUUACCCCUCUUAGAUGGCUAAUAUUGAAAAUACACUUUCUACGUUCAAAUCUAUUUCUAAUAUACCCCUAGAGUUAAAAUCUGUUAAUGAACUUUGUUAUCUUUGUAAAACUACUAUUUUGCCUUUUCAAAUAUACCCUUCCACCAUCACUGACUUUCUUAUUUGCCCUUAAAGUCAGGGGCACAAAAAGUAUUUUGACUUUUGGUCUUUUUCAAUAUACCCAUCUACCGUAACCAACAUUUCUUAUUUGCCCUUAAGUUAAUGGCAAAAUUGGUAUUUUAAUUUUUUUUAACUGUGGUAGAUAUUUAACUCAGGUUUAAUCCAAGUUAACUUAAUAGGAGAUAACUGCAAGGGUAUUUUACAAUAACGGUCGAACAUAUGAGGGAUAUUUUAGAAAGAAAAAAAAUAAAGAUAAAUCAGAUAUUUUCAAACGUGCGAGGGGUAUAUAGGCAAUUAUUCCUUUAUUUUUUUUGUUUGAGUUUUUAUACGUAUUUUAAUUAAAAAAAAAUUACC
rnacentral:lncRNA from 1 species